rnacentral:rRNA from 1 species
AGUGAACGCUGGCGGUAGGCCUAACACAUGCAAGUCGAACGGCAGCACAGUAAGAGCUUGCUCUUACGGGUGGCGAGUGGCGGACGGGUGAGGAAUACAUCGGAAUCUACUUUUUCGUGGGGGAUAACGUAGGGAAACUUACGCUAAUACCGCAUACGACCUACGGGUGAAAGCAGGGGAUCUUCGGACCUUGCGCGAUUGAAUGAGCCGAUGUCGGAUUAGCUAGUUGGCGGGGUAAAGACCCACCAAGGCGACGAUCCGUAGCUGGUCUGAGAGGAUGAUAAGCCACACUGGAACUGAGACACGGUCCAGACUCCUACGGGAGGCAGCAGUGGGGAAUAUUGGACAAUGGGCGCAAGCCUGAUCCAGCCAUACCGCGUGGGUGAAGAAGGCCUUCGGGUUGUAAAGCCCUUUUGUUGGGAAAGAAAAGCAGCAGGUUAAUACCCCGCUGUUCUGACGGUACCCAAAGAAUAAGCACCGGCUAACUUCGUG